rnacentral:rRNA from 1 species
GACGUAGGGCGCGAGCGUUGUCCGGAUUUAUUGGGCGUAAAGAGCUCGUAGGCGGCUUGUCGCGUCGAACUGUGAAAUCCCGCGGCUCAACUGCGGGUCUGCAGUCGAUACGGGCAGGCUAGAGUUCGGUAGGGGAGACUGGAAUUCCUGGUGUAGCGGUGAAAUGCGGCAGAGUAUCAGGAGGAACACCGGUGGGCGAAGGCGGGACUCUGGGCCGAUAACUG